UACGUUCAGACAGUCUGUCAGUCUGGCCCCAGAUCUGUUUGUGUCAUGUCAAUGGCCAUAGGAGUUGGCAAGACUCCUUCAAUACAGCAAGUCUCUGUCAAUAUGAACCUUUCUGUCUUUUUUAUGGUGAUGUCAUUUAUGUACAAAACCAGCCCUAUUGAUCCUGUGAUAUGGUGUUGUAACAAAGUAGUUCUCUUGUAAAAUGGAUGUGCUUUGGUUCUUGCCCAGCUGCAUCCAGCUGUAUUCCCGUGGAGUAGCCUAUUGUACAUUAUUUUGUGUUUACAACUAUGAUGUCCCUACGUACUGGUAAACAAAGUUACGAUGACGUUAUAUUGAUCUUGUAUUUUAGCUGCAUGUUAUGCCUGGAUAUUAUAGUGUUUCUGAAAGUAAAAACAGGCAUGUAGAGUGAGAAUGAAACUCUAGCCCCUACUAGACCCUAGAGCAUUCUGCUACAGGCUACAGGUAACCAGAUAUCAGUGUGGCGGUUAAGCACUUCAUUGUAUCCAUCUACCCUAUCAUGUUACAACUGCUGCACAAAGCAGCUCAUUCAAUACAAAUUAUAAAUUGGUAGGGACGAUGAAUGGAAAACAACAAUUAUUUAAAACUAUGCUCAUGAUGGUGCCCUAAAGACACUCAAAAUUGAUGUAUGUAUUUGUGUGUGUGCAUGUGUUGUUAUGCUAUCGACAUUGUAUUUGGAAAAUUAAGUUGCAUAAUGAAAAUAAUUGUACAGAAAAAAUACAAAAUAAGCACAGUACUGUACAGUGUAAUCAUCGAAAUCACAUGUAUGCAGGUGUCACACAUGUUUGUCAGAUCUUGAAUAAGACAUAUGUAGGCCUUAUUGCAGGCUUAUGAACAGUGCAUCUCCUGUCCUUAGUUUUAGCAGAGAAUUAAUUUGCUGCUUUUUUGUUCUCUUCCAAGUGACCGAGGCCUGGCGUGAGGAGUUGCGAGAGUUGACAGAGAGGGCAAGGCUUUUGGGACCAGGUGGAAGAGGCAGUGGUGUCCCCUUCUUCCCCCAGUCCAGCUGUGUGUCAGCCCUCGGGGGGUCUAGAGAUGACAGAGAGGGGAACCCUAAACUACAGCUGAUGGUGAUUGAUAUGUUGUGUCAGAUACUGGAAACGGAGUCUAUAGGGGAUGUCCAGUAAUGGAUUCUGACAGCUGGUCAAAGAGAAAAGGACCAGGUUCUAAGUCUGCUGUCUUCCGCCCUGGCAAAGGACCCGGUCUCAGCCUAUGAGGCUCCGGGAAGAGAGCAGCUGACAGUGAAGGAGGUUCAAAACCAUGCCUCCAGAAUGACUUCGAUCAGUGAGGAGGAUACCACCAGAGAUCAUUCCCUAAAAAUUAUGUCAAACUGUGACUCAGGUAAACUGGAGGAUGCAGGCACAGAGAGGGCAGAGUCCAAGACCCCCAGGGAGAGACACAUUGCCAGACCCCUGAGUACCCAGAGGACCCUGUGUAGCCCCACCGUGUGUCACCUCAACCAAAAGGUGGUCCUACGUUACACCAAGCGGGCCCUGAUGCCUCACACACCACCUGAAGUGUUCCAGGCCGAAUGGCCCAACUAUACCCAGCAGGCACCUGGCUCACUCGUGACAUAAAACACAACUCUGGCAAUACACCUGGGGCUGGUUCAGGAAGUUGCAAUGUUACUGAACGUUCAGAUAGAAAUGUAUGAUGUAGAAUAGAUACCAUUGUCUGUCAUGUUGAAUAGGUUAUUGUAUCAGCUCUAGUGAUUCUAUUCAUAUCUGCAACACUCUGAACGUUGUGCCCUAAAGAAUGAACCCCUCCUGUGCAUCUCAAUAGACCUCUUAUUCAGCAAUCGGUAGUCAUUUUGUUCUGAUUUGGUUUGAAUUAGAUUUUGAAUUGGUGUUUCAUUGAGGUGGAAAGGGAGUUAAAAUGGGAUUUGAGUGUAAUCAUUAGUUACAGCAAUACUUUUACACUGUAAUGACAUAAGUAGUUACACAGUAAUAAUGGCAAUGUAACGUAAGUGUUACCACAUACUGCAUCACUACUAGUAUUUCUAGACUGACAAUUGUUCACACAAAUAGAAUAACAUAAUCUGAAAGACUAUAAAGACAAUAGGAUCCGUAGUCAAUAUAUCUGUAUAUUUAUCUCACUUAUUUCCCGAAUGCAUGAAAAAAUAAAGUGAAUCAAUGAAUGCCUAUUAAUGAAUACAAUAGACUGUGUACUACUCCCUUCACAGAACAGCGCAAACUGGCUCUAACCAGAAUAGAAAGAGGAGUGGG